rnacentral:lncRNA from 1 species
GCCGCGGGGGCAAAAAGCAGCGGGAGCGGGGGCAAAAAACCACAGAAAGCCGAGGCGGCGAGGGGAAAGAGCCGCGGCGGCAGGGGGCAAAAAGCUGCAAAAAGCAGCGGCGGCAAAAAGCCGCGGCGGCGGGGGCAAAAAGCCGCGGCGGCGGCGGGGGCAAAAAGCUGCAAAAAGCCGCGGCGGCGGGGACAAAAAGCUAGGGCGGCAAAAAGCCG